UCACUGGAGGAGGUAUGGGGAUUGAUGAGAAUGGAGGCAAGUUUGCGGCUGGAUGCGGUCCAGGUGGUCUUAGAAUCGGAACUAGUGCUGCAAUUGAUGUCGGUGGCAGUUGUGGUGGAGUUGAAGCUCAUGCUUUAGAGGUCGUCUGCAAGGUUUCCGAGCCAUGGUUGUAUGGUUGUGGAUUGCUCUACUGGAGGUCGAGCCCACUUCUUCU